CCUACGGGAGGCAGCAGGGAGGAAGAUGGGGCAAUGGAGGAGAGGCAGAACCAGCCAAGUAGCGUGAAGGAUGACUGCCCUAUGGGUUGUAAACUUCUUUUAUAAAGGAAUAAAACGAGGCACGUGUGCCUUUUUGCAUGUACUUUAUGAAUAAGGAUCGGCUAACUCCGUGCCAGCAGCCGCGGUAAUACGGAGGAUCCGAGCGUUAUCCGGAUUUAUUGGGUUGAAAGGGAGCGUAGAUGGGUUGUUAAGUCAGUUGUGAAAGUUUGCGGCUCAACCGUAAAAUUGCAAUUGAUACUGGCAGUCUUGAGUACAGUUGAGGUAGGCGGAAUGCGUGGUGUAGCGGUGAAAUGCUUAGAUACCACGAAGAACCCCGAUUGAGAAGGCAGCUUACUAAACUGUGACUGACAUUGAUGCUCGAAAGUGUGGGUAUCAAACAGGAUUAGAUACCCCAGUAGUC
rnacentral:rRNA from 1 species